UUGAAACACGGACCAAGGAGUCUAGCAUGUGCGCGAGUCAUUGGGAAAUGACUAAACCUAAAGGCGCAAUGAAAGUGAAAGUUCGUCUUGCACGGACCUAGGGAGGAUGGGCGGCAGGUCUGUAUGGAUCUUCGCUCCGCACUCCCGGGGCGUCUCGUUCUCAUUGCGAGAAGAGGCGCACCAAGAGCGUACACGCUGGGACCCGAAAGAUGGUGAACUAUGCCUGGUCAGGACGAAGCCAGGGGAAACCCUGGUGGAGGUCCGUAGCGAUUCUGACGUGCAAAUCGAUCGUCGGAACUGGGUAUAGGGGCGAAAGACUAAUCGAACCAUCUAGUAGCUGGUUCCCUCCGAAGUUUCCCUCAGGAUAGCUGGCGCUCGUCGUUGACGAGUUUCAUCCGGUAAAGCGAAUGAUUAGAGGCAUUGGGGUCGAAACGGCCUCAACCUAUUCUCAAACUUUAAAUGGGUGAGAUCUUCGGCUUGCUCGAACUAUUAUUUUGAAGCCGCAAGAUUUGAAUCAGAGUGCCAAGUGGGCCAUUUUUGGUAAGCAGAACUGGCGCUGUGGGAUGAACCAAACGUAGAGUUAAAGCGCCUAAAUCGACGCUUAUGGGAUACCAUGAAAGGCGUUGGUAACUUAAGACAUCAGGACGGUGGCCAUGGAAGUCGGAAUCCGCUAA
rnacentral:rRNA from 1 species